rnacentral:tRNA from 2 species
GACUUAAUACUUUAAUAUAAAAGAUUUGAUUUGCAUUCAAGAAAUAGGCUUUUAAGCCUUUAGGUCA